rnacentral:rRNA from 1 species
GUAGGUGAACCUGCGGAUGGAUCAUUACAAAAACAUCUCKCWSWMUYSWGWKMUMGAKAGAUAGCCUAUUUAGGCGCAGAGUGCGUCGUUCGGACACUUCGGUGAAAGAGCACGCACAGAGGGACGCUCGAGCUGGCGGGUGCUCCCAAAAAACAAGAGGCGACUGUCCCGCCUCUGACAAAGGACGACUAGUUCGUCCGCGUGCCGCCCGGAUAGUGGCUUCCGGCCGGACGGCAGGCAUACARCAAACUGGAAACCCCCGCGGACCCCUUAUCGGGGACUUGCGGCAGGAACUUUGUCCCUGUGACAUCGUUCGACCCGACCGGCGACGAUCGCACGGCGCGAUCGUGGGUCUUCCACAGCCGAAUGGACCGACGUGUGGGGUGACGGUGUACCCUUCCAGCGGCCGAUCGGCGGAGCCUCGUCUUGCCCCGUAAUAGGGUGACUUGGCGCCGUCCGCGACGCUGUAGAACUGUCUUAAAGAGCUGCUUCCCAAGGUUGGGGAGACGGACGAUGGGGCCUCUGUGCUAGGAUUUGACCCGAGAGUCUUCAGGGACCUCCGGGAUGCACUAGGGCCUCUAGCGCCGACUCACGGGAGCGCUCGCCCCACGUUUUCUCAUUCCGCCGUGUCUUGCACACGCGCGGUCGAGAAUCCUACCGUUCCUCAUCGAACGCGUAGUCUCGGUCGGUGUUAUGGCCCUCGCCUAGCGAGGUGCCCGUACCCGACCGUACACUUGAACGCAAGUCUCUGGAUCCGAUGUUCUCGGGAGCCAGGGCGCAGGCGCUCUGCCCGUGUUGCGCGGGCAGUCGACGACUGUYUCAAAUCAGAGACAACUCUAUGCGGUGGAUCACUCGGCUCGUGCGUCGAUGAAGAGCGCAGCCAGCUGCGUGAAUUAAUGUGAAUUGCAGGACACACUGAACAUCGACACCUUGAACGCACAUUGCGGCUCUGGUUCACUGCCAGAGCCUCGCCUGUCCGAGGGUCGGCGAACAAGUCAUYGCACCCCGUGCUCASKCKCGGGGGAGCGUGUUGGCGUGUCGCGCGAGCUCCGUCUCGCUCGUCCGCCGUAGACUUCAGCCUCUCCUAUGGCAUCMACCUCUCGCAYGAAGAGGCGCCUGGACAGGGCUCGAACGGGCCACUGUCUGUCCGGCGCACGUCUMACGACGACCUUCUGAGAGUSUUGCCGAGAGAAUGCCGGAAUCUUGCCCAUUGCGGGCGGACUCCAUCAUCCGACCUCGGAUCAGACGAGACUACCCGCUGAACUUAAGCAUAUCAGUAAGCGGAGGAAAAGAAACUAACAAGGAUUCCCUUAGUAACGGCGAGUGAAGCGG